rnacentral:rRNA from 1 species
UACAGAGGUCUCAAGCGUUGUUCGGAUUCAUUGGGCGUAAAGGGCGCGUAGGCUGCGGGGCAAGUCGGGUGUGAAAUCUCAGAGCUCAACUCUGAAACUGCACUCGAUACUGCUUUGCUUGAGGACUGGAGAGGAGAUUGGAAUUCACGGUGUAGCAGUGAAAUGCGUAGAUAUCGUGAGGAAGACCAGUGGCGAAGGCGGGUCUCUGGACAGUUCCUGACGUGAGGCACGAAGGUCAGGGGAGCAAACGGG